CAACAACCCCAUUACAUUCGGCUCUUGUGUACUUCCUUAAACUAAAAGAACUCGAACUUGUUAUGUUAUGCCCCAAAACUAACUAUUUUUCUCUCUAAAACCCAAUUUUUUUUGAACAGAAAACCCUCAGUUUCAAUUUCUUGCAAGAUCUGUCCAGAUAAAAAUACUCCAUGGAUGAUGUUUGUGGUGGCACUGUUGUAGAAUCUUGUAUAGAGACAGUGGUAGGUGAUUUUGUAGUGAGUGGGGAGAGUGCGAAAUCCCAAGUUAUUGAGAGAGUUGGGGCAGCAGAAGGUGGGUCUUGUAAUGGGGAGGAAGUUAUGGUUGCGGCUACGGGUUCUGAUGGACAUGUGGAUGGUGUUCGUAUUCCUGAUUCCGGGGAUGGUGGCUGUGGGGGAAAUUCUAGUCAGGGUGGUCCGAAUGAGCGGGAUUCAGAGAAAGAUUGGAAGGAUUUAGGUGUUGGAGGCCAGUCUGGCGAUUCUGAUUUGGUGGCGUUGGAUUUGGGAACUGGUAAUGAGGCUGGGAAGUCUUCUGUUUUUCCAGAAUUUAAUGAAGGGAAAUUGGAGGAGGGUGCGACAGCAAUUAUGGAGAUUAGUGAUGUUGGUAAUGGCACUGCUGAAUGUAGUACCCCCCGGGGAGUUGAGGGUGGGGAUGAGUCGGACGUAAGAGUUGGAAGUGCAGUUGAAGGUUCCAUUAGUGGUGACAUCCAGGCUGUGGAUGAAAAAAUGGAAAUAGUUGCGGAGGAAGGAAGUUUGGAGGGAGAAUUGGAGAAGGAGGAUGUAAUUACUCGGGAAAUUAAGCCAUCAGAGAAUGAAACACAGGAUCAAAGAGUUAAACUUGAAAACGGUGUAGGAGGUUCUUCAGCAGUUGUUGAUUCUUUAGUAGGUGAAACACAGAUUUCUAUUGCUGCAGAGAAUUCUGAACUGGCUGAGACGGCUACUAAUCAGCCUAAGGAAAUAAAUGGCAAUGGUGGGAAUGCCCUUCAGGUGUUGGAGACACAAAAGGUUGGUGUUUUGCAUGAUGAAGUUUGGAAUCCAGGAAUUGAAAUUACUGAUGCAGCAGCGUCUUCAGCUGUGGUGGAAGAUUUACGUGCAGAUACCCAAAUUAUUGAAAAGGAAUCUGCAGUUUCAAAUCCAAAAGUUGAAGAAGCUUUGGAGGAGAUUCACAAUGAUAAUUUGGUUUCAACGGAAAAGGAUAGCAUUGCUGAUGCAACCUUCAAAUCCUUAGAUGGGCAAACACAAGUUGCUGUCGAUGGAGAAAUUGCAUCAAUGGACAAUGAAGAUAUUGGGAGUCCUAACAUUGAAGGUAUGGGCACUGAUAUUUUUAAUGAAAAUUUUUGUUUUUCAGUGGAAGAACUGCAGGCAACAUUUGAGACAGCCAACGGAAGCACUGAAAAUCACUAUGAUGCAUUUGCAGAUUUGCAAUUUUCACAACAGCCAACUCAGGUAGUUGGAGGUGACAUAAUGGGCACAGAGGACAAGUUGCAUCUGAAUUCUGAAACAGAUAUAUUAAUAUCUACAGGCUGCUCAGACCAGAGACAGUCUCAUACUUAUGCUCGGGUUCAUUCGGAUGUAGGAUCAAAAAGAGCCGAGCAAGCUAGUGAUGCUGAGCAAGGUAAGCUUGAGACUUAUUAUGAUAGUACUAUCAAUCAAAGCAGGAUAUGUUCAGAUUUGACAACUUCAUGUCAGCCUGCUCAAAGUAACGAAGGUGCAUAUAUGGAUGAGAAGGUUCAAUUACAUCCUAAUUGUAAGGGUUCAGUUCACGUGCAGUUGGAUGGGACAUUAUCUUCCUCGAGGGAUAAUCAGCACUUAAAGACAGGGACGGAGUAUCAGGAAACAAAUACCCAAAAUGCGUCAGCCAGUGCAGAUGCCCCUCAGAUUGGCUUGCACGAAGAGCAAGAAAUUGAAGCUGAAGAACAUGACUCUGAAUUUGAACAGCAAAAAACCACCGAUCGUAAAUCUGCUAAACAAGCAGCUCUAAACUCGGGAGAUACAGUAAAAGCAAUUCAAGCUAGGUAUCAGUUCCCACUUGAUGAUGAAGGUGAAUACGGUGUAUCUGAUUUAGUCUGGGGUAAAGUGAGGAGCCAUCCAUGGUGGCCUGGACAGAUUUUUGAUCCUUCAGAUGCCUCUGAGAAAGCAAUGAAGUAUCAUAAAAGGGACUGCUUUUUGGUAUCAUAUUUUGGGGAUCGAACAUUUGCAUGGAACGAUGCAUCCCUGCUAAAACCUUUCAGGUCACACUUCUCCCAGGUUGAGAAGCAGAGCAAUUCAGACACAUUUCAUAAUGCUGUUGACUGUGCUUUGGAAGAAGUCUCAAGAAGGAUAGAGUUUGGAAUGGCUUGCCCAUGCAUUCCAGGGGACACAUAUGAGAAACUUAAAUUUCAGAUAGUGGAAAACGCCGGAAUCCGACAAGAAUUACGUGUAAUUGAGAGUGUGGACAAAUCCUUGAGGGCUGAUUUAUUUGAAUCUGCUAAGAUCGUGGAUUAUAUAAAAGCAUUAGCACAAUCUCCAGCUGGUGGGGCUGAUCGCCUGGAGCUUACAAUUGCUACGUCUCAAUUGCUUUCAUUUUAUCGCUUGAAGGGUUAUUCUCAACUGCCUGAAUAUCAAUCUUGUGGCGGGUUGUUAGAGACUUCGGACACUUUACACUCUGAGGAUGCUACUCCUGAUAACAAGUAUGAUGGGCAAAGUUCAUCUGCUCAGGAGACGUUACAGACUCGAAGAAGUUCCUACCACAAGCGUAAACAUAAUUUAACGGAUACUAACCACCAUAGGAAGAAAGAGAAAAAUGUGUCUGAAUCAAUGGGUGACCCAUGGGACUCUGUAGAUGAUGAAUUUGAUCCUGAUUGGAAAGCUAACAGUAAAGUAAUAUCACCAUCUUCUGGGAAGAAGAGGAGGGUCUCUGAUUCAUUUCCUGAUGACUCGUCUAUGGUUGAAGGUAGGAAAACUAUCUCUCUAGCAAAAGUGUCCACGCCUACUCUUCCUAAGCCUUCCUUCAAGAUUGGUGACUGCCUUCGUAGAGUUGCUAGCCAGAUGACUGGGUCCCCCUCUAUAAUGAAAUCUAAUAGCCAGAAGCCAGAUGGAGGCGUUGAUUCACGUGUUGUUGAAGGAUCUGAUGCCGCGGUUCAGCAAUCUGAGGAUCCUGACACGAGGAGAAUAAAUGAUCCAGAAUACUCGUCGUUAGAUGAACUACUAUCACAGCUUCAGUUGGCAGCUCUAGAUCCCUUGAAAGGAUAUAAUUUCUUGACUGUCAUUGUUAGCUUUUUCUCUGAUUUCCGAAACACAGUGAUUAUGGAGAAGCAUGAUAAAGUAGGUGGUAAAAGGAGACAAGAUUCCCGUAUACUUGGUUCACCUGAAACAUUUGAGUUUGAGGAUAUGAAUGAUACUUAUUGGACAGACCGUGUUAUUGAAAAUGGUUCAGAAGAGCAGCCACCGCGUAAAAGUAGAAAAAGAGAGAAUCAGAUUAGGUCCGAUGACCUGGAUAAGCCUUCUAAAAGAUCAAAUUCUAGGAAGCGUUAUUCUGAUGGAAAUGGUGGUCUGUUAGCAGAGAAACCAGUUACUUAUAUAGAUGAGAAUGCACCAGCAGAAUUAGUAAUGCAUUUCCCCGUGGUGGAUUCUGUUCCUUCAGAAAUGAGCCUCAAUAAGAUAUUCAAGCGUUUCGGUCCUUUAAGAGAAUAUGAGACGGAAACAGAUAAGGAUACCAACCGCGCCAGAGUUGUUUUCAAAAAGUAUUCUGAUGCAGAAGCUGCUUAUGGGAGUGCGCCAAAGUUCAACAUUUUUGGUUCAACUCUUGUAAAUUACCAGCUCAAUAAUACUAUAUCUGUGCCAUUUAAAACUCAACCAGUGGCCACGUUCUUAGGAGUGGAAGAUGAAUCACUUUUUCUACAGUUUUGAAGAAGUGGGCCUGACUUGAAUAUUUAGGUGACUGGAGAAGUUGAAAUAUUGGGGCAGACACAAUACGCUUGCGCUGUUGCUCUUAUAAAUGUUCAACUUGUAGCGUCGCUUAAGGAAAGAAGUCUGUUACGCUGCAUUACCCCGGUUCUGUAAAGAGCUCACGAGGUUGGUCGUCGGAACAGUCUUCUCAAUAUCCAUGUUUUGUUGAUGCUGUUUGUAUAGAUUGACUUGCCAGGGGAAUAAUUCUUUUAUUCCUCUUUUUUUCGCUGAUGCAAUAGAAGGAAGUUGUCUAUGUAUGGUGAAUGUUACUACCUAUUAGUUUAUUUAGAUAUUUUGCAUGAUUUUUUUUUUUGUCAAAAUAGCUUACGACUCUUAGAGUCUCAAUUUGUUAGUUGUUAGUUACGGUUACGGAGGCAGGAUUCAAACCCAUGACCUUUUGAUGCACUUGGAGACGCCUUAACAAUCUGGGCUAGGCCCACACAGGCAUGUUUUGCAUGAUUGAUCAGAGCAAUAAUGAAUCUCCAGAAGAAGUAAGGGUAAGAAAAAAUCUGUUGACAUAACCUUCAGUAGUUGCCUGUCUGUAGUUUGCCUUGAGACUAUGGCUUGUUGGAAGAUGAUCUUCCGGAAAGUUUGGUAUUUCUUUAAUCAGAACAAGGUUCGAAUCUAA